AGAAAAAAUUCCAUAUCCAUUCCUUCUCGCUUUGCUGCUUCUCUACUCUGUUUUCUCUCUCUUUUACGCGGUUUUUUUCCUCCUAUCGAUAUUAUACGAAUCUGAAAUCCAUUGCAAAUGACAUUCAAUUCAUCCACCCAAUUCAUCAACUAGGAAGCUUGAACAAUCGUUUUCUUAGACCCUGCUGUUGACAACGGACAAUGGCGGAUCGCCGAGCCGAAGGUUUUUUCAAAGGGGAGGUGCUCACUUAUGCUUACCUUCUUCUCUAUAUUGCUCUCUCCAGUGGCCAGAUCUUCUUCAACAAGUGGGUCUUGUCCUCAAAGGAGAUCAACUUUCCUUAUCCUCUUGCUUUGACUCUACUCCACAUGAUCUUCUCGUCCAUCUUAUGUUUUAUACUCAUUAAAGUGUUUAAGGUUUUGAAGAUCGAGGAAGGUAUGAGUGCAGAAAUGUAUGCUACAUCAGUAAUCCCAAUUGGUGCAACCUUUGCAAUGACUCUUUGGCUGGGGAACACUGCUUACCUGUAUAUCUCUGUUGCCUUCGCACAAAUGCUCAAAGCAAUAAUGCCAGUUGCCGUCUUUGUUCUUGGAGUAGCAGCAGGUCUUGAGUUAAUGAGCUGUAGAAUGUUACUGAUCAUGUCAGUGAUAAGUUUUGGUGUUCUAGUGGCUUCAUAUGGAGAAAUAAACAUCAGUUGGAUUGGUGUUGUUUACCAAAUGGGAGGCGUUGUAGGGGAAGCUCUAAGACUAAUUUUCAUGGAGAUCCUUGUUAAAAGAAAGGGCCUAAAAUUAAAUCCUAUUUCUAUCAUGUACUAUGUUAGUCCCUGCAGUGCCCUUUGCCUGCUCAUUCCAUGGAUCUUUCUGGAGAAACCAAAGAUGGAAGAACGUGAAUCAUGGAACUUUCCUCCUGUUAUACUAGUGCUCAACUCUCUAUGUACUUUUGCUCUCAACCUCUCAGUUUUCCUUGUUAUUACACAUACAAGUGCCUUGACUAUUCGUGUUGCUGGAGUUGUCAAGGACUGGGUUGUGGUCUUACUGUCAGCUCUUUUAUUUGCGGAUGUAAAGUUGACUGUUAUUAAUCUCUUUGGGUAUGGCAUUGCCAUUGCCGGAGUUGUGGCAUACAACAAUCACAAGUUGAAAAAGGAAGCUUCACGAAGAAGUCCUAAUGAUUCUGAUCAGCUUGAAUCCAUCCCAAUGGUCACAUCCUCGUCCAGCAACAAAUAGUUACUUUGUUUUGGAAGUUUAAUGUAGUUAUCCUGAGGUGCACCUUUUAAUGUAUUGUGUACACUUUUCACAGCUGCUCCUGCGAUAAGGAACGUAAGUUUGCUUAUGGUAGGGACAGAUUCAGACGUAUAGAGAUAUGCUAUCCACAGUUCGGAACGUAAGUUUACCAUCCACAAUUGUUAAAAGUAAAGAUCAACUGACCUGCAUCCUUUGGCAUUUUUGUACCUUCCAAUGUUCAAUUUUCAUACCCCACACCGAUGAACUGACGAGCAGUGACAGAAUCUCUCGCUGUUUAAGCAAAAUGAAAGCAUAUGGCAAUUGUCAGGAAAUUUGAACCAUGGUGUUAACAAACGUGAAUUUAUGAAGUGUGGGGUUGGAAAGUUCCAGGUUUAUGUAACUCAUUGUAGAAAGGAAGAGGGAGAAAGAGAGUUAUAGAACUUUGGAACUUUGUAAUUUGUGAUUGAAUUGCGGCUUUAUGACUUGAAAAGAUGGUUGUACUAUAAGUAGUAGUUUUCCAUUAGUUCUAGUUUAUGAAUGGUUCACCAUACUCCUUUACUCUCGUGGAUAAAAGAGAUGCAAGAGAGUUAUAAUGAAUUAUUUAUUUUCUUUUGAGGAUAUAGUGGUGGAGAGGAUAUCAAUGAAUGUUUUAUUUCUCCUUCGCAGAUA